rnacentral:rRNA from 1 species
CUGGCUCAGAACGAACGCUGGCGGCGCGUUUAAGCAUGCAAGUCGAGCGGCAAGGGCCUUCGGGCCCUAGAGCGGCGGACGGGUGAGUAACACGUGGACAAUCUGCCCCCCGGCCCGGGAUAGCCCAGGGAAACCUGGAUUAAUACCGGAUGAGACGGGACCCGCGAUGGCGGGAUCCGGGAAAGGCGCUGCGGCGCCGCCGGGGGAUGAGUCUGCGUCCCAUUAGCUAGACGGCGGGGUAACGGCCCACCGUGGCGACGAUGGGUAGCCGGCCUGAGAGGGUGGACGGCCACAUUGGAACUGAGACACGGUCCAGACUCCUACGGGAGGCAGCAGCUAAGAAUCUUCCGCAAUGGGCGAAAGCCUGACGGAGCCGACGCCGCGUGAACGAAGAAGGCCGUGAGGUUGUAAAGUUCUUUUCGGGAGGGGAACAACCGUGGCAGGGAAUGGCCGCGGGAUGACGUGAACUCCCGGAAUAACGCCCCGGCUAACUACGUGCCAGCAGCCGC